ACAACAUUUGGGCCGUCGGUAUAUCGAGCAAUAUCAUUCGCUCGGUGAAAGAUCUUCCAUUCGUCGU
rnacentral:pre_miRNA from 1 species